GAUCACCUUCCAGGUGAAGGUCACGGCCACAGAGUGCAUCCAGGAGCAGACGUUUGUCAUCCGGCCACUGGGCUUCCCGGACACGGUGACCGUGCGUGUCCUUCCCCAGUGUGAGUGCCAGUGCCAGGACCAGAGCCAGGAACGCAGCCUCUGCCAGGGCAAGGGCUCCUUGGAGUGCGGCGUCUGCAGGUGCGACGCUGGCUACAUCGGGAAAAACUGUGAGUGCCAGACGCAGGGCCGGAGCAGCCAGGAGCUGGAGGGAAGCUGCCGGAAGGACAACAGCUCCCUCGUGUGCUCGGGGCUGGGGGACUGCGUCUGCGGGCAGUGCGUGUGCCACACCAGCGACGUCCCCAACAA